CGGCGUGCCUAAUACAUGCAAGUCGAACAGUCUUUCUAUGGAAGCUUGCUUCCACUGAGAAGAUAGUGGCGAACGGGUGAGUAACACGUGGGUAACCUGCCCAUAAGAGGGGGAUAACAUCCGGAAACGGGUGCUAAUACGCAUAGUUUUCUUGAUCGCAUGAUCGGGAAAGGAAAGACGGCCUUUGUGCUGUCGCUUAUGGAUGGACCCGCGGCGUAUUAGUUAGUUGGUGAGGUAACGGCUCACCAAGACGAUGAUACGUAGCCGACCUGAGAGGGUGAUCGGCCACAUUGGGACUGAGACACGGCCCAAACUCCUACGGGAGGCAGCAGUAGGGAAUCUUCCGCAAUGGACGAAAGUCUGACGGAGCAACGCCGCGUGAGUGAAAGAAGGUUUUCGGAUCGUAAAACUCUGUUGUCAGAGAAGAACAAGUUGGAGAGUAACUGCUCCAGCCUUGACGGUAUCUGACCAGAAAGCCACGGCUAACUACGUGCCAGCCGCGGC
rnacentral:rRNA from 1 species